rnacentral:lncRNA from 1 species
CACCUACUAGAAAACAGGCAGAGAGCAAAAAGGCGGAGAAAGAGAGAAAAACUAAGGAAAGAGGGAAGAAAAAAGUGAAAGAAGGAAGAAAGGAAGAAAAGGGAAGAAAAGGAAGCAAGGUAAGGUUAAUCUCUUCAAGUUUGGAUUUAAUUUUUUCCAUUUGUUACAAGUGAUAAAAGUAUGAUUUAUGUUAAAAUUCUACAGUUUUAACUUGUAGUAAAAAAUUUCAAAUUUAGGUGUGAUAAGUACGAAUUGGAGCUCAAGCUUGGGGAUUACUUCAUUUCCAAUUUCAGCUAAGUAAGGAAUAUUAUUUUUAACAAACCCUAGAAAUUUCAUUUGGGAUUUUUGGAUGAAAAUGAUGAUGAUGAGGAAAUAAUUAUUUGGAAGUAUGAAUUGAUGGAACAAGAGGAAAAUUUAAUUGGUCGAAGCAUUGUGACAAGUAUGAAGUGGUAGUUACAUUAAUGCUUGAAAUGAAGGUUAUGUUGAUAAAUUAGUUACUAGAAAGGUAUCAUAAAGUGUGAUUAGCUCCAAUUAAUAAAAGAAAAUUUGUUAAUUUAAUCAAGUAUCAAGAAAUUUAAUUUUAAGUUCUAUCAUUAUAUAAUAAGGUUUCUUGAUUUAAUAGUGGAUAAAUUGGUUAUUAAUAUCGUAUUUCAGGUCACGAGGAGAUUGGAAAUGUUUAUCAGGCAGUCUAGCUUGUAGCUCAUACUUUGUGAGUGGAUAGAAACUUAUUUUUCAUAAAUUAGUAUUUAUUAAAUUUAUAUUAUAAUAGAAAAUUUAUUAAUUCAUACAGAUGAAUUGACAACAUGAUUCUUAGAAUAAAGUGGAUUUUAUAGUUUCUUUUAAGUUAAAUUCAAUUCAGUUAAAUCAUUUGAUUAGCAAGUUAUAUGAAUAUUAAAUGUUUCAGCAUAAUUAAAGUUAGUUUUAAAACCACCAGAAAGUACUUAGGUGAUUUUACCCUAAUCCGCACUGUUGUGAAUGUGUUUCUACAAUGUAUGAUCAGUUAUGGUGAUUUUACCCGCUCUGCACUAUGGUAAAUGUGUUUUCAUAGUGUAUGACCAGAUUAUCAGAGGCCUUUGGAACCCAUUCUCAUACACACAUAGGCUUUGGGCCGUGUACUAGGGUGAUUAGCCUUUGGAGCAGCUCUAUGUACUUAUAACCAGAUUAUCAUAUGUGAAUGGACUUGCUUUGUACAUUGAGAUUACUCUGUACAUGAGUAAGGCUAUUCAUAGACUUUUUGGUGUAAUUUUUCAGUAUUUCUAUAGCUUAUCAGAUUUCAGAUUAUAGAUUUUCAUGAAUAUCAAAUUCUUUAUAUUCGUUAUACCUUACAGACAGAACAAAAAAUUUUAUAAUGUAAUCAUGUUUAGUUUUUAAAGUAUUACUAGAUUCAAAAUUUCUCAAAGAUUUAAUAAAGUUAGAAUUUUUAGAAAAUAUGCAUAAAUGGAAAAGUAUACUUAUUUGCAAACUGUCCACUCACUGAGUUACAAACUUAUAUAUUUUGUCAUGUUUUUCUUAUUAGGAGACCGUUGAUUUUGAGAUACAUGGAAAAGCCUACCUCAGUCAAAGAGACCGUUUCAUAGUAAGUAAUGAAUAGUUGGGGACUCAUGUUUAUUAAGUACUUUGUCUAGUAUUUUCUUUGACGUGUAUUUUGUAGAAGGGUUUGUAAUUGAUGUAAUGCUUACUUGUAGACAUAAUGCUAAUGUAGAAGUACUCAGUCGAGUUUAGUUGUAUUUUGUUUUAG